CCUCAGUUCUGUCUUCACUCUCUUGGUCUGCUGACAGUGUGCUGGGAAUAACGUUACUGGUGACCUUCUUCAUUCUUUGGAUGUCUGAGUUUGGUUGCAACUGAGGAAGGUGAAAUGAUAAUGGGCUCUUUCAAUCAAAGGAAGACCUAAGCACUGGAUUAUCUUCAACAAGACGACAGCACUGGAUUCUCUUUAGAUGUUCUGCAUUGAACUUGAGGUUAAUGAAAUGUCACAUUUACUGUAGGCGUUCGAGAUGAGGGAAAUCUCAUUGGAGUCGUAACGGCCAAUCUAUUUCUACAAUUAGAUUCCAAAGGCUAUCAGAUAAAGGAGCAGGAUGUGAAUUAAAGAACCGGAUAUGCACCACAUGCAGAAGUUACACAUCUCCCUAAAAUAAUUGAUACAUCGAUCAGUUUACUGUGGUGACAGCAAUAACAAAUUGUUAUUUAAAUGCUAUUUACGGGACAGAGAGAAUGUUCAAAGCAAUGCACCUAUUUGUUUCUCUCUCUGGAUCCAUCCAUUGGUAAAGCUUGUCCAAUGCCUCAGUGAAGCUAUGUAUGAACAAGAAAGGCCUUGGGUCUGAAUCCUGGUCUGUUGGUCUGGCCGGGACAAGAAUAGUAAUGCUACAACUGGCCUCAGUAUCCUGGAGAGUGUAAUCAGCUCGCAUUUCCAUUCCUGAUCACUGUAAAGCGAUCCCCACAAGAGAUGCAUAAGUGCAGCACUUCAAGAUCACCAGAUGACACUCACUGGCAUGCAUGACGAUUGACUGGCACCCGAGGAACCACAGCUUCAAUAGAAAGAAAAAUCAAGUUAAAUGCUUUCUGGAGAGGAAGCAGAGAGGAGAAAAUUGGUGAAGAAAAAUGAUCUGUCUGCAUGAUGUGGGUGAUAUGCUUCAUGAUAUGGAAGGAGUCCCCACUCAAAUUCCUUAUCAAGCAGUCCGCUUGGAAAUCACCAUGUAUCCGUAAUUUCAUGUUGUGUGGUCAAAAAUUAAUAAAUAGCUUUCCAUGAUUGAACUUGUGGCAUUUGCAAAGACUCGAACACCAAGAUCUUUUAGAUCUAGUGCUGACGUGAUAUCAUUACACAGCUCUGUCACAUAAAUCUUCCAACAAGAUUGCUGUCAGUACACAGUUUGUAACAUUUAAAAUAUUUUUA